rnacentral:rRNA from 1 species
UACGAAGGGUGCAAGCGUUAUCCGGAUUCAUUGGGUUUAAAGGGUGCGUAGGCGGAGUGGUAAGUCAGUGGUGAAAUCUUGCGGCUUAACCGUAAAAUUGCCAUUGAUACUGCCAUUCUUGAGUAGGCUCGACGUGGGCGGAAUGUGCCGUGUAGCGGUGAAAUGCUUAGAUAUGGCACAGAACACCGAUAGUGAAGACAGCUCACGAGGGCCAAACUGACGCUGAGGCACGAAAGCGUGGGGAUCGAACAGGAUUAGAUACCCUGGUAGUCCACGCCGUAAACGAUGAUCACUCGUUAUUGGCGAUAUACGGUCAGUAACCUAGCGAAAGCGUUAAGUGAUCCACCUGGGGAGUACGAUCGCAAGAUUGAA